CACCAUCCAUCUCAAUACAUUCCAACCUAUCAACUACCCGAAUCAGAUAACCCCCCAACCAAAAUCCGGUGAACUCAGCCAUCACGAUAACCCGACCCGUCUUCAACGAUCCCAACACAACCAGCGAAGACCCUAACCCAUCGACCCAUUUUCAGAAGAGAAAAUCCAAAUACAUCCUUUCCCCUUCAAUUCGUACGGAUUGCGUGACCUCCACGUGAGUUCAUACGUCAAAGAACCUCGAACCUUCUAGAACAGUGCCAAGGUGGCCUCUCAACGUUCAACUCUGCAAAUCUCGGGAUGGGGGUACGAAUCUGGUACGUAUUUGGCCAAUUUCUAUUGGCUUGAAGGGGGAUUUUUUUUCGAUUGGCUAAUCCAUUUUUGGAUUUCAUGAGAAACAACAAAAAGGGGUACAAUUGAUUGACGCAAACAGGUUGUAGGGGGGGAAUUUUUGAAUUGGAAAUUCAAAAUUCCUUCUUAUGAAUCCCGAAAAUACCCCAAUCCUUUGUUCUAUAUAAGAACCCAUUUGGGUCACUGUUAAGGAGGUCAAAAAUUCUGGGGUUCUUUGGAGGCUGGAAAUUCUAGGGUUUGGAAAUUGAUUGAGAAAACUAUGUUGAGAAAAUUUCUUUUGGUUCAAAAAGAGGGGGUCGAGGAAUCUUCUUGGAGAAAAGAAACAAAAAUUAGAGAGAGAGGAGAGAGAAAAUUUUUGAGAAAAUUCAGUCUCGAGUAGAAAUUUUAUUCUUGUUCAUCAGCUAAAUUAGAGUUUCAAUUGACUGUGAAGAAGUUUCCUGGUGGUUGUGAUAUCCGUACCAGUUCGUUGUCCCGUUUUGCUACCCAAAGGCCGGGAUGGCUGUGAAAGUCGUGUGAUUAGCUUGUUACAGGUUGCCGUCACCUUUGGUGCUUCGGCUGAAGCUUUGCUCAUUUGCAAAGUUUUAGCAGGACUAGUACUCAAAAAUUCUGCAUUUGGACCAUCGAUGCAUGUUCGAUUCUAUCAGGCAAGUUGAGCUUGCAGCUACCUUUGUCAUUAUUAUUCUUGCUCUCUAGUGGCACCAUUUCCUUAACUACAUAUGGUCAAUUGAGGGAACAUCGAGGCUUUGUGCAGCAGGCUUCCGAUAUGAAGGUAUCAGCUCAGUUGUAGCACGCAUAACAUAUUCAGACAGUUUGCAGCUGCCAGUCAGCAGGUGAUGUGUCCUUUUGAUUCAAGGACUCGAGUCAGUCAUAUAGUUUGAGCAUUAUUUUAUUUUUCCUUAUUCUAUUGUAUUGAUUUGGGAUAGUUGGGGGUCAUGUCCCGGCUAAAUAUAGCCAACACUAAUAGAGGCUUCAUAGAUAGCCAGUAGAGUUAAUGUAUUUGAUUCCAGUGUUGUUUUGCAAUAGUAGAGUUAUAAACAUUUUAAUUUAGUUAUGUAUUGAUCAGAUUCAAAAAAGAAUUGUCUUUCGCUUAUUUCGAUCA